UUGGAAGCAAGAGUGGAAACAGUUUUUGUUUUAAUUAAGUUUUCUUCCUAUUUAUAAACAAUGCAUGCUCAAAAAGAAAAUGAGUAAAAUACAAAUAACAUGAACAGGAAAAAAUUUAAAACCAUCCUACUUCUACCUCUCAAAAAUAACCAUGAUUCACAUUUUUUAUGUGUGUUUCUCCUGUAUGCUCCUAUGGAAAUAAAGAUUUUGUGUGCAUAUUUUUGCAAUAGAAAUAUGCAUACUUUUACUUAGUUUUUUUCCAAUUGACAAAAUAUUUUUUCCUUAUUCUCAUGUCCAUCGAUUUUAUAACAUAAAUUCCAACAUAGUUGCCAUAUUCAACUUCACAGAUGCACAUGAUUUACUUUUAUCAUCCUGUUGUAUAUUUAGUUUAUUUUCCAUUGUAAUUAUUACAAAUGACAUAAUAAUGAUCACCCAUGUAAUUAUUUUCUUAAACUAUUUUUAUAACAAAUAAUGCAUAUCUGUAAAGUAAGCAAUGCAUGCAUUCUUAUUUAAUCAGUAAUAUAUGCCCAUCACAAAUUAUAGAUCAGUCAAAAUUGCAGAAUGCCACACAUUCAGAUAUCACAGAGUUAGACACAAGUGUGGGGAGUCUACAGAACACCCUCAUGUUUAAUUGUUCACCAGAAGGAUUCAUAGAACUCAGCAAUAACUCCUGGUUUUUGUUUAUUUCAGCAAAAGGAUUUGGAGUAAGAUCAACAAAGGGAAAAGAUUCAUAGGGUGGAGUCCAAGAGUUCAGGCACAAGCUUCCAAUUACUUUCUCCUAGUGGAGGCAUGAAGGUACCACUUCUCCCAUCAACCCUGUAUGCCAACAUUCAUGGAGUACUGCCAACCAGGGAAGUGCACCCAAACCUUGAUGUCCAAUUUUUUUACUGGUGUCAUAUAAGGUUGACUGAUCAUUUACAUAGCUGACCUUAGUCUCCAGCCCUUCCACAGGUCAAGUUGAUAUCAUGAGACCAAGAGUCCUCACCAUAAUUCACAUUGUGAAUCAAAUAUUCAGUGUGACCCAAGGUAAAUAAGGAUAAUCUAUCAGGACAUUCUGAGGGUUGGAGGUUACCUCCCAGAGUUGGUCAAGAGCCAAUCCUUCCUGGUCAAGGUUCAUUCUUUAUUGUACACUAGUGUAUGCUCUUCUAAUUUAACUCUUUGCAUAUGUACGCUCAUGUUUCCUAUCAUAAUAUAUCUUAUUCUAUUAAUUUAGCCUAUUCUGUGAUAAGUGAGUAUACAAAUAAAUAUCAUAAUUAUUGAACAGUAUUCUAUCAUAAAUAAGGGAAUUUCUAAGUUUUAUUUUGG
rnacentral:lncRNA from 1 species